rnacentral:rRNA from 1 species
AGUUUGAUCCUGGCUCAGGAUGAAUGCUGGCGGCGUGCCUAAUACAUGCAAGUCGAGCGGUAAGGCCCUUCGGGGUACACGAGCGGCGGACGGCUGAGUAACGCGUGGGAACAUGCCCCAAAGUGAGGGAUAACGCACCGAAAGGUGUGCUAAUACCGCAUAUGGUCUUCGGAUUAAAGGAUUUAUCCGCUUUGGGAGUGGCCCGCGUACGAUUAGAUUGUUGGUGAGGUAACGGCUCACCAAGUCGACGAUCGUUAACUGGUCUGAGAGGAUGAUCAGUCAGACUGGAACUGAGACACGGUCCAGACUCCUACGGGAGGCAGCAGUAAGGAAUCUUCCACAAUGGGCGAAAGCCCGAUGGAGCAACGCCGCGUGCAGGAUGAAGGCCCUCGGGUCGUAAACUGCUUUUAUGAGUGAAGAAUAUGACGGUAACUCAUGAAUAAGCACCGGCUAACUACGUG